AGGACGAACGCUGGCGGCGUGCCUAAAACAUGCAAGUCGAACGAGGGAGCAAUCCCUAGUGGCGAACGGCGGAGUAAUACAUGAACAACGUGCCCUAAAGUCCGGGACAAACGCAGAAAUGCCAUAAAUACCGGAUGUGGUCCAAGCCUGGCAUCAGGAGUGGAUUAAAUGGUUUUUCGCUUUAGGAGCGGUUCAUGGCCUAUCAGGUAGUUGGUGGGGUAAUGGCCUACCAAGCCGACGACAGGUAGCGGGUCUGAGAGGAUGAUCCGCUCGAGUGGGACUGAGACACGGCCCACACACCUACGGGUGGCAGCAGUUGGGAAUCUUGCACAAUGGGGGAAACCCUGAUGCAGCGACGCCGCGUGGAGGAUGACGGAUCUAGGUCUGUAAACUCCUUUUUCAUGGAAAGACUUAGGACGGUACCAUGAGAAUAAGGACCGGCUAACUACGUGCCAGCAGCCGC
rnacentral:rRNA from 1 species